UGAUGAGAAAAAAUGAAAGCAUAUUUAAAAAAGCCCCUUUACUUUUACUUCCACCUCUGUUCGAUCCUUAAAAUUACUGAAUCAUCCCUCUGUUCAUAAUCGACCUCUUUCUUUGUGGGGUGAAGAUGCCAAGUACCAAUUGAUUCGAUAAAAAGAAUUUUUUUUUUCAGAGACAAAAUAACGAUACUUAAUCUUCUAUAAUAUUCUGCUUAUCCAAUUACGUCUAUCUUUUAUUAGUUUUUGAGAUGAAUUAAUAUUUUUAAUAAAUUUAUAAAAUUUUAAAAUUAUAAAAAAUUUUAAUAAUAAAAUUUAUAAAUUUUGAGUUUUCAAUUUUUAAAUAUAUAUUUAAAAAAAUUAAUUUAUUAUAAUAUUUAAAAUAAUAAUCAAAGUUAAAUUCAUUUGACAAAAAAUAAUUAAAAAGGGACAAAGAAACGAGAGGAGGGAAUCUUACAUAAUUCGUACGUUAUCUUAAAUAUGAGAAUCUUAUUUUAUAGUAAAAGCUUUUCCCGAAACUAAUAUUUCAUUUUAAUUACCCAAUUAGAGUACUUCUCUUGGCAACCAAAUGUUGUCAACAUUUUUUUUUUUUUUUUUGUAAUUUUCAUGUGAAGGAAAGUUCCUUCUCUAUUUUAUAGCGAGUUCCAAAAAAUUAUUUUCUUUCAAAUCAAUUUCUUACAGCCAACAUCAUCCAACUUUCUUUCUACAAAUUAACCAUCAGAAGAUCAUGAUUUUGGUUUCGACGCUAGCUUUCAGUUUUCAAAUUAUAGUUAGAUUCUAAUCUCAUACACAACUAGAUUUCUUUGAAAUUCAAACUCAAUCGAAUAUGAAAACUCAUAUCACCCAUGGAAAAUCUAUACCUAAAUAUCCAAAGUCAAUCAAAAUUGAAUAAGAACAACACAACUUCAACAAAAAGUAUAGUAAUAAAAUUAAUCCUUCAAGGACUUAUGCAGUCUCUUGUGCAAAUAAGAUGAGCUUGCAAGUUCUUGACAAAAAUUGAUUUUUUAAAGUUUUGGGCUGGAAGUGCUAGCAAUAGAUAAUAAAUAUAAGAAAUUAAAAAAAAAGAAAAGAAAAAAGAACGGGGAGAGAAGUUUGAUUGAAGAGAGAGAAAAAAAUAGUGAAAGUAAUUAAGAUAUGAGAGAGAGAGAAUGAAUACGAUUAAAAUUUAUUAUGAAUACCCAUUUGAUGGGACUUUAAUAUUUUGAGAAUGAUUUUUGAAAAAAAAAAAAUGAAAGAGAUAUUAUUGGAUUGGAGAAAGAAAAUGAUGUACAAAAAAGAUUAAACAAAAAUGGAUAAUUGAAGAAGUGGACAAAAAGAAAAAGAAAAAGAAAAGGAAAGAAAGAAAAGAAAA
rnacentral:lncRNA from 1 species